CAGUCGAGCGAGCUUGCCUAGAUGAUUUUAGUGCUUGCACUAAAUGAAACUAGAUACAAGCGAGCGGCGGACGGGUGAGUAACACGUGGGUAACCUGCCCAAGAGACUGGGAUAACACCUGGAAACAGAUGCUAAUACCGGAUAACAACACUAGACGCAUGUCUAGAGUUUGAAAGAUGGUUCUGCUAUCACUCUUGGAUGGACCUGCGGUGCAUUAGCUAGUUGGUAAGGUAACGGCUUACCAAGGCAAUGAUGCAUAGCCGAGUUGAGAGACUGAUCGGCCACAUUGGGACUGAGACACGGCCCAAACUCCUACGGGAGGCAGCAGUAGGGAAUCUUCCACAAUGGACGAAAGUCUGAUGGAGCAACGCCGCGUGAGUGAAGAAGGGUUUCGGCUCGUAAAGCUCUGUUGGUAGUGAAGAAAGAUAGAGGUAGUAACUGGCCUUUAUUUGACGGUAAUUACUUAGAAAGUCACGGCUAACUACGUGCCAGCAGCCGCGGUAAUACGUAGGUGGCAAGCGUUGUCCGGAUUUAUUGGGCGUAAAGCGAGUGCAGGCGGUUCAAUAAGUCUGAUGUGAAAGCCCGUGGCUCAACCGCGGAACUGCUUUGGAAACUGUAUAGCUUGAGUACUGGAGAGGCAGGCGGAAUUCCUAGUGUAGCGGUGAAAUGCGUAGAUAUUAGGAGGAACACCAGUGGCGAAGGCGGCCUGCUGGACAGAAACUGACGUUGAGGCUCGAAAGCGUGGGGAGCAAACAGGAUUAGAUACCCUGGUAGUCCACGCGGUAAACGAUGAAUGCUAGGUGUUGGGGAGCAAAGCUCUUCGGUGCCGUCGCAAACGCAGUAAGCAUUC
rnacentral:rRNA from 1 species